GGAGGGUGCAAGCGUUAAUCGGAAUUACUGGGCGUAAAGCGCGCGUAGGCGGCUCUGUAAGUCAAAUGUGAAAGCCCCGGGCUUAACCUGGGAAUUGCAUUCGAUACUGCAGAACUAGAGUAUGGUAGAGGGAAGUGGAAUUUCCGGUGUAGCGGUGAAAUGCGUAGAUAUCGGAAGGAACACCAGUGGCGAAGGCGACUUCCUGGGCCAAUACUGACGCUGAGGUGCGAAAGCGUGGGGAGCAAACAGGGAUUAGAUACCCUGGGAGUCCACGCCGUAAACGAUGAGAACUAGAUGUCGGGGGAAUCUGUCCUUCGGUGUCGCAGCUAACGCGUUAAGUUCUCCGCCUGGGGAGUACGCCGGCAACGGUA
rnacentral:rRNA from 1 species